UGAUGUGAGGGCGAUCUGGCUGCGACAUCUGUUACCUCAUUGAUCACUAGGGUUGAUUUGGCUGACUCAGCUGGCUAGGCGAGUGUCCCCUUCCUCCUUCCCCGCUCCAUCUGCUUCCCUCUAGAAGCUGUGCUUUUGGUGGAAGGGGACAGCCUUCCCCGGAUAGAAUGGACUGGUCUUUUGUGGAGUGUGUAUUUGUAGCUGCACUCCCCUGCUAGAACCUCCAAACAAGCUCUCAAGAAUGCUCAUCAAGAAUAAGAUGAUUACUGAUGGAGUAAUGUUUUUUUUUUCCUAAUAUUUAAAAAAAUAUAUUAUUGGA
ensembl:misc_RNA 7SK 7SK RNA